UCGGAUUAAUACCGCAUACGAUCUAAGGAUGAAAGCAGGGGAUCGCAAGACCUUGCGCUAUACGAGCGGCCGAUGUCGGAUUAGCUAGUUGGUAGGGUAAAGGCCUACCAAGGCAACGAUCCGUAGCGGGUCUGAGAGGAUGAUCCGCCACACUGGGACUGAGACACGGCCCAGACUCCUACGGGAGGCAGCAGUGGGGAAUUUUGGACAAUGGACGAAAGUCUGAUCCAGCCAUGCCGCGUGAGUGAAGAAGGCCUUCGGGUUGUAAAGCUCUUUUGUCCGGGAGCAAAUCCUGUUCACUAAUACUGAGCGGGGCUGAGAGUACCGGAAGAAUAAGCACCGGCUAACUACGUGCCAGCAGCCGCGGUAAUACGUAGGGUGCGAGCGUUAAUCGGAAUUACUGGGCGUAAAGGGUGCGCAGGUGGUUACGUAAGUCUGAUGUGAAAGCCCCGGGCUCAACCU
rnacentral:rRNA from 1 species